rnacentral:piRNA from 1 species
UAGAUAAAGGCUGAUUACCUACACCUAC